UCUUUUUCAUUUUCUGUCUAACACUCCUCUUCACUCCCUCAAACUCUCCUACUGGUACCUCCAUACCAUGAUUUCCACCAUCAUUUUUCCAGCAAUGUCACUGGAAAAUCCUUAGGAACCUCUAAGCAUCUUCAUCCCUUUUAUUUGAGGUUCUAGCUAAUCUCCUUUGGAGCUUGGAGAAUUUGGCAUUUGCGAGGUGCGAGUUUUUCAGAUUUAUUAGCUAUACCUUAGAUAUGGAGCUUACACCAUUGAUCAUGAUUGGAGUGCUAUUUUAAAUUUUGAGACUUUUGCUGUAGAUGGUUGAUGACUCGAUCUUGCUAUGUUCAACGAGGCUUUAAUUAAUUCUAUUAGAGGUUGGUCGCUUUAGAUUUGUUAGCCUUAGGCAUGGUAGGCCUAGAAUUGAUGUUAAGGUUCCUUAUUCUUGGUAAGAUUGUGUAAUCCAAUUAGAAUUUUGUAAUAUAUUCUUGUAUUAUAUGGAGGCAUAUGAUUUUAGUUAUUGUUCGUAAA